rnacentral:rRNA from 1 species
AACUUUCAACAACGGAUCUCUUGGUUCUCGCAUCGAUGAAGAACGUAGCAAAUUGCGAUAAUUAGUGUGAAUUGCAUAUUCAGUGAAUCAUCGAGUCUUUGAACGCAUCUUGCACUCAUUGGUAUUCCAAUGAGUACGCCUGUUUCAGUA